CCAUGAAGUCGGAAUCGCUAGUAAUCGCAAAUCAGAAUGUUGCGGUGAAUACGUUCCCGGGCCUUGUACACACCGCCCGUCACACCAUGGGAGUGGGUUGCACCAGAAGUAGAUAGCUUAACCUUCGGGAGGGCGUUUACCACGGUGUGAUUCAUGACUGGGGUGAAGUCGUAACAAGGUAACCCUAGGGGAACCUGGGGUUGGAUCACCUCCUUA
rnacentral:rRNA from 1 species